rnacentral:lncRNA from 1 species
CCGCGACUGUUAUGUGGAACUGCCCAUUUCAAAAUGAGGUUAAAGCAUGUCUUUUGGCUAUAGGAAGUGUUAGACAGAACUAGUGUGAGGGGAUAAAUUUAUUCUCUGGGUUCUCAACAGGUUUUACAGCUUGUAGUUUGAAUGAUGAAGCCAUUCAUCCUUGACGAUGCUUCCCGACACAAAUAACAAAUCAUGCUGUUAAGAAUGAGAAAAUUCAGAGAUGACAUAUGCAAGAAAGAAUGUUGUCGAAAUUACCCAAUCAAGAAGAUAGAUGCAUUCCUCUUUUGGCCUAUAAGUAGUGUUUCUUCUUCCACUGACAAUUUCCAAGGCAACAAUUCCAAAACUGUAAACAUCUGCUUUGUCAGUUAAAUAGCCCCGAAAUGCAUAUUCAGGUGCCAUAUAUCCACAGCAAAAUGAGGGUAUGAUUUUACACAAAUUUUCCAUUUGCAUGAAGGAUCAACACUGGUGAUCAAAAGCAAAAAUUUCUAGGAUGUGGUUUCCAAAGUGAUAUCAGUAUCACUGCUUCCUAUUUGAGCUAAACGGAAAGAUAAAUAAUGAUACUGAAAUUAUCACAGCCAUAAAGAUCUGGAUUACCUGAAUUCUGAAAGAGUAAGAAACCAUUGACAUCCAUUCAAAAGAAAGAAAAAGCCCAUUAACUAAAAAUCAGGAGACAGUGACUCACAAUGCACCAGCAUUCCGGGUGCUAAUGUGGGUGUUAUCCUCUUCAUCAAGUUUGGCCAAACCAAAGUCAGAUAUUUUGGGGUUAAGAUUCUUAUCAAGCAGCACAUUUGUGGCCUUGAUGUCUAGGUGGAUGAUCUUCAGCCUUGAUUCUUCAUGAAGAUAAGCCAACACUCUUGCUAUGCCAACACAGAUCCUGUGCCUAGUUGGCCAAUCCAAUUGUAAUUGACAUUCUUCGGGGCCUAAAUCAUCAUAUCAACCAAAAGUUAGAUGUAAGAAGCACUCAAAUCACACAAGUUCAUAUACAUGUAGUUUUAUAGCAGAAGCAAUUGAGCAAGGCACGUAAGCAGAUGUGAAAAAAACAGACCAAACAAAGCACGAGCGAGGCUGUUAUUCUCCAUUUACUCAUAUAUCAGCAACAACUGAUUUCCUUCUAUACAACAGCCAUAGAGCUUCACAAGAUGAGGAUGUUGAAGAGCAGAAAUCAUGCCUAUCUCAUUCACAAACUCACGGUUUCCUUGUUUUGACUUGGAAGAAAGCUGCUUCACUGCAAUUACGGUGCCAUCCGAUAAGAGGCCCUGCAUUUGAGAAAUAGUGUCUUCACUUCAGUAUAAAGUUUUAUGAUAACAAACUGCUUAAUGAACAGCUUAAAUGCAUAAAAUGAGGGAAAACUAAUUAUUGUGCUGAAUACCUUGUAAAUAGAACCAAAUCCAACUUCUCCAAUUUUGUUGGCAGCAUCCAAGUUGUUUGUGGCAGCCUUAAUUUGCCUUAGGGUAAACAAACCAGUGUGCUGAUCUAGACCCUUUAAAUCUGUAGAAGAAGCCAAGUUAGAUAAGAAAUAUAUCUAAAAAAAACUUGCAAUUAUUUCUACAUUCCUAAUAGUUUUAGAAGGAUUUUGAUGGAUUAUAACUGUAUCUUCUGUAGGGACCCCUCCCCCUGAUGACACGUGGCACAUACUUCCUGGUGACACAUGACACGUAUUCUCAUCCGGAUUACCCAAUCCGGAUUUCCCCAAGAGUACAUGUGGCGCGCUUCUCCUAUCCGGACUUCCUCAUGGUGAAGCACACGACACUCGCAAAUAUCACAUCCGGACGACUGACAUAUCCUAUCCGGGUAUGUUUGUCCGGAUCAUUGACUGAAGUAAGCAAGUCUUGCACGUCUUCACAACAGCCUGCCAUGACCCACGUUCCGCUACCUGCAGAGUGAAAGGACAAGAAUGAAGUGACGGCAAGUCACUUCCCAUGAUCUAUGACAGCCGCCGCGCUUCCCACAAUCUCUGUCAGCCGCUCGUAGGGUGAUGAUGGUCUUGCCACCACCUAGUGGCAUCAUGAUAAGCCAAAAUAUCUCUCUACCAUUAAAGAGGGAAACAAAGCUUCUGGUACUAUAUGUAUGAACCUUCACAUAAAAAGAAAGGUAAGCUUGCGAUACUUAGUAAAAGACCAACUGGUUUAUCUUUCUUUCCAUGGCUGACAAAACCGUCGGAGGGUGUGUCCGGACACCCUGUCCGGACGCCUUUUGCAGGAACGACUGAACCAGGAACUUAUAUUGGUUGAGAUCGUGCGUCCGUCCAUUUGGCAACUACGUGGAUCACCAGGGACGUGAGGCCUCAACAUCUUCUACAUCCAGAGAAAUCAACCCUGAUCAGAUACCAUGUUUUAGCAUGAAUGCCAGCAACCCAAUCCAUUGCUACAACAUCAACAAUGAAAUGUUUUGAUAUACAACAUUUUUCAUAAUCAAUACCUUGUUCCAAUGUAUCUUUGCGCCUUAGGCAGCCUCUCCACCAAAGGAUACCGAUAACCAGGAAGAUAAGAAGAAUGACUCCAGCCACAAUGCCAACCACAACGCUCACAGAUAUACUAGUACUGCCAUUUCUGGAAGGAGGUAUAAAAUCUGCAAUAAGAAAACAGGGUUAGAACAGAUACGCAGAUGGAAUGGAAGCUUUUAGGCAAAUGAUGGCACAAAGAAAAACAAAAUCGAACCAUUAGUAAUGCUGCAACAAGAGACUAAUCACAAAAAAUAUUUUAUCAACAUUAUUCUUCAGAGUCAAAGUCAAAUAAACAUGAAAAGAUGCUCAAACUGUUGGCAAAUUUCAGAAGAGCAACACAUAAAGAGCGAUGAAAUUUCCAAUGAUAUAGGUAGCAUCAAAGAAGAAUCAUUUGAGAUUCCAUAUAUAUUAAAACAGAGUUGUGCCAAACCCUUCAAAAAAUAAUGAAUCAUGUCCAUGUUGGUUCCAAGUGCCCUAAAGAAAAGAGGAGUUGCGCAGACUGAACCAAGUCACUAAACUAAAAAAAUGUGUAAUUUGAGAAGUAGAAGAACAAUACCCUUUUGCAUACCAACUAUUCAAAAUUGUUGAACUACCAAUUUUCCUAAAUGUUUAAGCUUAAGCUCCCUCAUGUGUGGUCCCAUGCCCACAGGUGGAGGAACAAACAAAAUCUGGAUUCAUAUCCCAAUAGACAAAGAUAGACAAAAUUUGGAUUCAAACAAACAAAGGAAAUGCAAUCUGAUACUCUAAUUAUUAAAAAGCUACUAAAAAAACAUAGACAACAAUAAUGAAUAAAAAGUAAAAGUAGUUCGGAGUUAUUACCAUUUAAUGAUAUUUAUAUAAGUAAUAAUUUGAGUUUAAUAAAUAUUAUUUUUACGUUAGAAUACAUGAAAUUCGAAUGAUUUUUUUAGAGGGUUUUUUUAUUAUUAUUAUUAUUUAAAAGUGUGGACUAAACAUGCUAUUUCCAUAAAAUAUAAAUGGGUUUUCUUUGAAAAGGAUUUAUUCUUUCAAAGUGAAAAUUAGUUUGCAUUUUGUGAGAAAUAUUCCUUGAAAAUGCCUAUAAAUCCAUUCACUCCACACUGAACCAGGUAUUGCACGCACCACGAGGAACCAAGAACCAUACCAACACACAAAUCAUAGAGAGGAGGAACCAAUACACAACUCAUGGAGAGAGAGAGAGAGAGAGAGAGAGGAUUUACCUCUGCAAAGCACAGCCCUGGGGCUGCCAUCUGAACUUGAGAUGCAAAUCAUCCAUACGCACAUUCCUCUGGCAAUUGAACUCCCUCUCUAUGAAUGGGCAUUCCUCCGCCUUGUACAGAGGAUAUGUCUCAUCCCUAACCCAUAUCCCUUGAAAAAAAUCACACUUCUCCCCACUCCCAACCGCAUUUCCAAUACAGACAACAACAACAACAAAAAUGAACAAAACACCCUGAACCCAUGAACCCAUUUCUCAAUCUCAAGCUCCCCAAGAGAGAGAAACAGAGAUGGGUUUUGUGUGGAAUUCUACUCUAGUAAAGACCCAUUUCCCAUGUCUCAAGAUUUCUAUUUAAUAUAUAGACAAAAGAAGGAGGAUGUAGAAAGAGAGUAAUGUUUCAUUGUGGGUAAAUGAGGAAGUGAUUUGUCUCUGUUUUUCAAAAUAGGAAAGGAGAACUUUGGGUGUGUUGUCAUGUAUGGUCACAAUGGUGUGAUAAUAUAUUAAUAUGUACAGGAGAUGCCCUGGAUAAUAAGGUAUCAUGUGGACUUUUGACCAAAACUCAGCCAAUGAGAGGCCCUUGGUUGGUUUGGUUUUCUCCAUGGGAUAACUACUUUUUCUUUCUUUUUUCAUUUUUGGAUUUCUUAAAUUUUUUAAUUCACGUAACUAUGAGUCCUUCGAUAGUGUCAAAUUGAUACCUACCAAAAAUUAAACCAAUCUUAAUAUACCACUUUUAUAAUUUUAUCUCAGAAUUUUGUAAUUCACUUACAUUUCGUUUAUUUGUAAUCAGUCUCAUACUCAUUUGCUCCAUUAAUGGCUUCUAGGUCCAUGCUUGUCUUCUUCCUCUUGUUCAACCACUUAUGUCAUCUUUCUUCCUUUAACUAUGUUUUUUAUUUUUUUUAUUUUUAUUUUAUUGAAUUUGAAUUAAAGUGGGGAAGAAGAUGGGAUAAUUUAUUUAUUUUUUAACUUCACAGACCUAUUUUAUUAAAAAUUUAAAAAGAAAAUUGUAAAAACUUAAAGAUUUGUCCAAAUGGAAUUUACUCAUUUGAUUCUCUUUUUAAAUAUUUAUGCCAAAAAAGGGUUUCUAACUCUAGACAAAAUUAUCCUACUUCUAAGCCUUAUAAAAACAAUUAGAGAGAGAGAGAGAGAGAGAGAGUUUUUUUAUUUUAUUUUAUUUAUCUACUCGAUAAUGAUUUGUCAUAUUAUUAGAUGAUACAAAUUGAAUAUAAAAAAAAGAGAAGUACAAUUUGCCUUAAUUGAAAAGUUUUUUGGUUGACUAUCCUAAUCUAUGGUUUGGAGGCAUCGAUGAAGGAUUAAUGGCUCUAUCACUAAAUUCAAUAGAUGGAAUGGAUAAACGAUUUUUUUAUUAUUAUUAUUAAUUAACCAUGAUUCUGCCAUGGUUGGUAGUUUGUCUAUUCUUUUUAUAUGAAGUGUAAAUAAGUUUCAAUUUGUCUAAAAUUUAAAUAAAAAUUGAUGUAAAAUAGUAAAAGCAUCAUCCAAAUCUUAAAUUUCAAAGAAAAGUUAAAACCUUAUCAGACUAUCAAUUUGGAUUGCCUCGUGUUUUCAAUAUAUAAAAACCUUGUUUGAUAGUCAUGAGUGUAAUCAUGUCCCAAAAUAGUUUUAGAGUUGUAUUAAGAAUAUGUUUUGCAGUGAUUUUAGAAAGCGUUUAUAACAUUUCUAACAUUUAAAUGAUAAAAAUUUUCAAGUAUUAAAAAUAUCAAAAGCGCUUCCUAAAAUCAUUAUCAAACGAACUCUAAAACACUAUUAUUGUUUUCAUCAUUUUUUCAAUUUUGUUUUCCAAAACUUGUAUACAUAUUUUUAAUAAAUCCAAUUAGAUAAGAGCAUAUGUUUUCAAAUAUUUACAUUAUUUUUACAUUCAAAUACAAGUUUUGAAAGUCGUUCUUUUGGUCUAAUUAAUUGUUCAUGCAUAGCAAGACUAAGUUCCUGUUUGGAUUUGCUUCCAACUAGCCCAAUCAGGUUGAACAUUCAAGAGGAAGAAUGAAUUGGGUAUCAGUCAAUUUUUCUACUAGACUAGAUAAUUGAUAAAAUUAAAGAUUAAAAUAAAUGUCAGACAACAAUUGGAAUAAAAUACGAGUAAAAAUGAAAUAUUCACUCGUUCUAACUUCUUUCUGAGCUUAGAAAUAUAUCCAUUAAUCCAAAAGUCCCUUUGACCAACACUCUUUGAUGAAUGAACACAAAAGCUUCACAGUUUGAUGAACAAGCCUUUCUUUCAUACACAACUUAAACAUAUUUCCCAAACAUACAUUGUUUAUCAAAUUGAAAACUUUUGUCUGUAAAACCUAUGGAUUACAGGACAUGAAAAUAUUUAUACAAAUUCAAAGAAAUGCUAUGCACCAGCCUUCAUAAAUGGUGUCAAAGAAGAACACAAAGAAGAAUUGAAAGCCAACAUUUAAUCUCUCUUCUCCCAAUAUUCAGAAUCCAAGGUGACUGGGUAGAGGUCAGUGAUGGAUGAAGAAGCAGUCCAUGGCCCGUCUGGCAUGCUCUGAGCCUUGCUCUCGCUCACAUCCAUGCUCUUUUCUUGGAUGUGGCGAUAAUGCUCCUUCAUCUCCUUGAGCUUUAAGUCAUCACUAGGAGCACUGGGAUCAGAAACAAUGUCCUGAACAGCAGUUAUGCCUUCAAGCAUGCUCACAACUGAUGACAUAGCUGGCCUGACUGCUGAAGAGAUGUUCGUGCACAAGAGAGCUAUGUUGAGCAUUGCCAUGACCUCUUCCUUGUUGAAGUCUGAGCCCAAUCUGGGGUCGACUAGAUCCAUUAAGUUCCCCUUCUCUUUUAAAGAGAGUGCCUAGAAGUUGAGAAAGAAAGAAAAUCCAAUAAGAGAAUUGCUUGUGUUUAACUCAAGCAAUAGGGACUCAGGCUGCAAGACUAUUUGUUUCAACAUAUGCUGAAUGCAGCCAUGGAAAUGUCACAACCACAUUGAAUGAGAUCAAAAUUUGAUAUGUAAUGAAUGGAAUAUGCCCAGCUAGCCUGCUACCCAGAAAGAGGCAUGCUAAUAUAGGAGUUUCAUCAGAGUGGUCCAGGCAGGUCCUGGAUAAUGUCUUAUUACUAAUACGGUAAUACCACACAAUAUAAUUGAAGUCAUUCAGGAAGAAAGCAUAUACUACCUGCUUCUUCAUUUAAGGUUGAAAAGGAAGCAAUACAUGUAAGUAUUAGUAGUAUUGGGGCAAUUUCGGUUUGUCUGAGCAAAUUUUUGUUCUUGAGAGCCUAUUUAAUCCAUAUAGAGUCAUCAUCUAGGAAAAUGGUCCAAAGGAUGCCAUGAAUCAGAAUAUAACUUCGGCCCAAGAUAGGAAAAUGUAGUUGCCAUGAUGUGAUGACUAUAUAUUUUUAUAUAUAUAAUUCAAGCCAUGGUUAGGGGUUCAUGAUUCGGAUCCUAUUCACUUCCACUUUGAUCAGGCUGGGAAAGCAGCUAGUCCUUGGUCGGAUCUAGUUAAGUUGCUUUACUCAGCAGAUCUGCUAAAACAGCAGCAUGACCUGCUACUGUUAUGCAGAACUGCCCAUUUCAAAAUGAGGUUAAAGCAUGUCUUUUGGCUGUAGGAAGUGUUGGACAGAACCAGUGUGAGGGGAUAAAUUUAUACUCUGGGUUCUCAACAGGUUUUACAGCUUGUAGUUUGAAUGAUGAAGCCAUCCAUCCUUGAAGAUGCUUCCCGACACAAAUAACAAACCAUGCUGUUAAAAUUAUGCAAUCAGCCUAAAUGGAUAAGAAUGAGAAAAUUCAGAGACGACAAAUGCAAGAAAGAA